rnacentral:lncRNA from 1 species
AGCAGCGUGAGAGGGAUGGGCUGAGUGUGGAGAGGGCAGUGCAGCUCAGGGCCUCCAGGGCCAUCUGCGUCAAGGGGACACUCUGACUUAAGGGGGCUGUGCUGGUGGCACCCCAGGCCCUUCUCUCCCAGGCUGGCCUCUGUCAUGCCUCAUCUAUCAGGUUAGCCUCUGCUGACGCUGGACAUGGCCACCCUCCACCUGCCCUCCAACUGCCUGUGCCCUUCCUCACACAGCCCAGGAGAAUGCACCCUCCAGGAGUCGAGCAGGGCAGGAGUUGGGGUAGCUGGCACUUCCGGGUUUCCUGAGGGGUGUCACACCUCAGACACUGGACAACUUCCUGCACUAGCAGCCAUGGAUCCUCGGGUCACCUGGCACUGGAAAGGGUGGUCACUCAGCUUCCUGUUGCUGUGUCCAAGUGCGAGGAUGCUCCGCGGUUGGUCCUCCUUCUCCUGUUAAUGGACAUGGGGCCCAGGUUGGGCUGUCACUAAUAAAGCUGCUGGAAAAUCCAGG